AGGUCCCCGGUUCGACAACAUACAAUCUUGCCUUUUAUUAUAUGAUGGACCCAUUGGAAACCAUUCCUUUACUUAAAAAGUUAUGUCAAAGGCGACGAUACAUAUAGGAAUUCAAGGUUCAGGCUCAUACCAUAUAUAUCAAAAGGGUCUUGGAUAGUAAAGCAAAGUGUGGGGAAAAAGCUUGUUUGGUUGGCCAAGGUGGGUAUGCAGAGCUUCAAAUAAGCUCUCCAGUUACCAUCAGCCAAUGUUUUAAUUACUAGUCAGAAGAUGUUGAAGAAGUUGAUUAAAG